rnacentral:rRNA from 1 species
CAGCUCGUGUCGUGAGAUGUUGGGUUAAGUCCCGCAACGAGCGCAACCCUCGUCGGCUGUUGCCAGCGAGCGAGUCGGGCACUCAGCCGAGACUGCCGGUGACAAACCGGAGGAAGGUGGGGAUGACGUCAAAUCCGCAUGGCCUUGAUGCCCUGGGCUACACACGUGCUACAAUGGCGCCGACAACGGGCCGCGACCCGGCGACGGGGAGCGAAUCUCCAAACGGCGUCGUAGUUCGGAUUGCAGGCUGCAACUCGCCUGCAUGAAGCCGGAAUUGCUAGUAAUCGCGGAUCAGCAUGCCGCGGUGAAUCCGUUCCCGGGCCUUGUACACACCGCCCGUA